rnacentral:rRNA from 1 species
AGUUUGAUCCUGGCUCAGCCUGAACGCUGGCGGCGUGGCUAAGACAUGCAAGUCGAACGGUGUAGCAAUACACAGUGGCGGACGGGUGAGUAAUGUAUCGCUAAUGUACCCUAGAGCCUGGGAUAGCCGACCGAAAGGGCGGGUAAUACCAGAUGAAAUACUCUUGUCGCAUGAUGAGAGUCUCAAAGCAGCAAUGCACUCCUGGAGCAGGCGAUAUCGUAUCAGCUAGUUGGUGAGGUAACGGCUCACCAAGGCGAUGACGCGUAGCUGGUCUGAGAGGACGACCAGCCACAUCGGGACUGAGACACUGCCCGGACUCCUACGGGGGGCUGCAGUAACGAAUCUUCCGCAAUGCACGAAAGUGUGACGGAGCGACGCCGCGUGUAGGAUGAAGUCCUUCGGGAUGUAAACUACUGUCAGGGGAAAGAAAGUUCUGAUCUACCCCAGAGGAAGAGGCGGCUAACUCUGUGCCAGCAGCCGCGGUAAUACAGAGGCCUCGAGCGUUAGGCGGAAUCACUGGGCUUAAAGCGUGUGUAGGUGGAUGCUUAAGUACUUUGUGAAAUCCCACGGCUUAACCGUGGAAUUGCUUGGUAUACUGGGCGUCUUGAGCCACUCAGGGGCGAGCGGAACAAACGGUGGAGCGGUGAAAUGCGUAGAUAUCGUUUGGAACGCCAAUGGUGAAAACAGCUCGCUGGGGGUGUGCUGACACUGAGACACGAAAGCCAGGGGAGCGAACGGGAUUAGAUACCCCGGUAGUCCUGGCCCUAAACGAUGUCCACUAGAUUAUGGCGGUUCUAACGCCGUCAUGGUCGUAGCAAAAGUGCUAAGUGGACCGCCUGGGAAGUACGGUCGCAAGGCUAAAACUCAAAGGAAUUGACGGGGGCUCACACAAGCGGUGGAGCAUGUGGUUCAAUUCGAAGCAACGCGCAGAACCUUACCUGGGCUUGACAUGCUAGGAUUAUCCCUAUGAAAGUAGGGUAGGCCCUUCGGGGUACAACUAGUACAGGUGCUGCAUGGCUGUCGUCAGCUCGUGUCGUGAGAUGUCGGGUUAAGUCCCUUAACGAGCGCAACCCUUGCCCCGUGUUACUAACAGGUAAAGCUGAGGACUCUCGGGGGACUGCCGGCGUCAAGCCGGAGGAAGGUGGGGACGACGUCAAGUCAUCAUGGCCCUUACGCCUAGGGCGACACACGUGCUACAAUGGCCAGGACAGAGGGCUGCGAAGCGGCAACGUGGAGCGAAUCCCAGAAACCUGGUCCAAGUUCGGAUUGUGGGCUGAAACUCGCCCACAUGAAGCCGGAAUCGCUAGUAAUCGCGGAUCAGCCAUGCCGCGGUGAAUACGUUCCCGGGCCUUGUACACACCGCCCGUCACGCCAUGGAAGUUGGGAGUGCCCGAAGUCCGUAUGCUAACCGCAAGGAGGCAGCGGCCUAAGGCAAGCUCGAUGACUGGGGCGAAGUCGUAACAAGGUAGCCGU